UGGGGGUUUACAGCCAGGUCUAGAGAGACAACUCACCAUCUCAUUCAGCAGCUUGAGGAUGCUGAUCGUGAGCUCCUUUCCUGCAUGUAAAAAGCAUCUGAAGGGAUGUUCCUGAGCGAGCAGCCACUCAUGACAUGAACUUCUGGACACACCCAUUGAGAUAA